rnacentral:tRNA from 1 species
GGGCGGGUGGCGGAACAGGUAUACGCGCAGCACUUAAAAUGCUGUGCCCAAAAGGCUUGAGGGUUCAAGUCCCUCCCCGCCCACCA